CCCUCACUUUUGAAAAUUAUUAAUAAAGAUUUAUUUAUAAAAUCGGAGGACCUAUAUGUAAAUAUGGAAAUUUCAAGGACUAAACUGUUAAGUUGUAAAAAGAAGAAAAUAAAGAAAACCGAAAACUUCGGUUUUAUCCCACCGCCUCCCACGCUCUCUCUGUUUCUUCGGUGGGGCGUGGAGAGAAGAAGAAGAGAAGUAGAGGGAGAAGAGAAGAAGAGGGAAAAGAAGAGAGG
rnacentral:lncRNA from 1 species